rnacentral:rRNA from 1 species
UACGAGAGGCCCGAGCGUUAAUCGGAAUCACUGGGCUUAAAGGGUGCGCAGGCGGACCCGCCAGCAUGUUGUGAAAUCCCCCGGCUCAACCGGGGAACUGCGAUGUGAACUGCGGGUCUUGAGGCAGGUAGGGGUCGAUGGAACCAUGGGUGGAACGGUGAAAUGUGUAGAUAUCCAUGGGAACGCCGAUGGCGAAGGCAGUCGACUGGGCCUGUCCUGACGCUCAUGCACGAAAGCGUGGGGAGCAAACGGG